rnacentral:rRNA from 1 species
UGAGUACGAGAUGCUACGGCAUCGAAGCAGUCUAUGUCAUACUUCCAAGAAAAGCUUGCACUGUCAUAAACAAAGAAUGCCUGUACCAUAACCGACACAGGUGGGUAGGUAGAGUAUACUAAGGGGCGCGAGAUAACUCUCUCUAAGGAACUCGGCAAAAUGACUCCGUAACUUCGGGAGAAGGAGUGCCUUAUUUCUAAGGUUGCAAUAACAAGAUCCAAGCAACUGUUUACCAAAAACACAGGUCUCCGCUAAGUCGUAAGACGAUGUAUGGGGGCUGACGCCUGCCCAGUGCCAGAAGGUUAAAGAAGUUGGUUAGCAUUAGCGAAGCUGAUAACUGAAGCCCUGGUGAACGGCGGCCGUAACAAUAACGGUCCUAAGGUAGCGAAAUUCCUUGUCGGGUAAGUUCCGACCCGCACGAAAGGCGUGAUGAUUUGGAUACUGUCUCGGAGAGGGGCUCGGUGAAAUAGACUUGUCUGUGAAGAUGCGGACUACCUGCACCUGGACAGAAAGACCCUAUGAAGCUUUACUGUAACUUGAGAUUGAAAUUGGACUUUAUUUGCGCAGUAAAGGUGGGAGGCGUUGAGAAUAAUCUUGCGGGAUUGUUGGAGCCAUCAGUGAGAUACCACUCUUGUAAUGUUAGAUUUCUAACUUUGUAUCAUUAUCUGGUCAAAGAACAGUUUCAGGCGGGCAGUUUGACUGGGGCGGUCGCCUCCCAAAGGGUAACGGAGGCGCACAAAGGUUUCCUCUGAACGGGUAGAAAUCGUAUCUAGAGUGUAAAGGCAUAAGGAAGCUUGACUGUGAGACCUACAAGUCGAGCAGGGACGAAAGUCGGUCUUAGUGAUCUGACGGUGCUGAGUGGAAAGGCCGUCACUCAACGGAUAAAAGUUACUCUAAGGAUAACAGGCUGAUCUCCCCCAAGAGUUCACAUCGACGGGGAGGUUUGGCACCUCGAUGUCGGCUCAUCGCAUCCUGGGGCGGUAGUCCGUCCCAAGGGUUGGGCUGUUCGCCCAUGAAAGCGGUACGCGAGCUGGGUUCAGAACGUCGUGAGACAGUUCGGUCCAUAUCCGGUGUAGGCGUUAGAAUAUUGAGAGGAGCCUUCUCUAGUACGAGAGGACCGAGAAGGACAUACCUCUGGUGUACCAGUUACCGUGCCGACGGUAAACGCUGGGUAGCUAUGUACGGAGUGGAUAACCGCUGAAAGCAUCUAAGUGGGAAGCCCACCUCAAGAUAAGUAUUCCC